rnacentral:rRNA from 1 species
CUGACCGUGCGAAGGUAGCGCAAUCACUUGUCCCUUAAAUGAGGACCUGUAUGAAUGGCACAACGAGGGCUUAACUGUCUCCUUUCCCCGGCCAAUGAAAUUGAUCUUCCCGUGCAGAAGCGGGAAUACUAACAUAAGACGAGAAGACCCUAUGGAGCUUUAGACGCCAGAACAGACCAUGUCAACUACUUCCUCAACAUAAAUAGCAAUAAUUGAGCCCCUGUUCCCCGUCUUUGGUUGGGGCGACCACGGGGAACAAGAAAACCCCCAUGUGGAUCGGGAGCACACCUACUCCUAGAACCACGAGCAACUGCUCUAAAUUACAGAACUUCUGACCAAAAAGAUCCGGCAACGCCGAUCAACGAAUCCAGUUACCCUAGGGAUAACAGCGCAAUCCUCUUC